GAAAAGGGAGAAGUUUUAGUAUCAUUAAAACGUUUAAUCCCGCUGCAAAUGUUUGCAUCUGUCCUAUAAGUCAGGAAUCUGCUGAACAGUGGCUGUCGUCUGUUUAUGUAGUUCAUACGUGUUUCUCGUUUCUCGUUUUUAUAUAGAUUAGACCGUUGGUUUUCCCGUUUUAAUGGUUUUAAACUAGUAAUUUUGUGGCCCUAUAUAGCUUGCUGUUAGGUGUGAGCCAAGGCUCCGUGUUGAAGGCCGUACCUUGACCUAUACUGGUUUACUUUUAUAAAUUGUUACUUGGAUGUAGAGUUGUCUCAUUGGCACUCAUACCACAUCUUCCUAUACCUAUUUACAUUAUAUUAAUAUUAGUAGUUUUCCAGUAGCAUCAGUAGUAAUGAAAGUCAAACACAAUUUGAAAUAUCACCAAGUUAAUCAAUGCAUUUCCUGCUAACGAAAUCUGAAAUCUGAAAUCAAAGACAACGUGCGAAAUGAAGAAACCAAGGUAUUCCUAAUAAGGUUUGACCUAAAAACUGUUAUACUCUACAUACCCUGCACCAAGAAACAGAGUUUGCAUUUCAUUAUCUUCUACUAAAGAUAAUCGUGAGAAUUAAUAGAGAAAGUCUUCAAGCCCUACAGUUAUUGUAAACUAACGAAAAUCCAGUAAUAAUAUGCCACAUUUGAGGUAGCAUAUGAUGAAGACACAUAAAAAUGCGUCGUUGUCACAUUAUGCAGUAAUUAAUAAGUAACGAGA
rnacentral:lncRNA from 1 species